UGGGGAAUUUUGCACAAUGGGGGAAACCCUGAUGCAGCGACGCCGCGUGAUUUAGAAGGCCUUCGGGUUGUAAAAAUCUUUUCUAUGGGAAGAAAAUGACAGCACCAUAGGAAUAAGGACCGGCUAAUUACGUGCCAGCAGCCGCGGUAAUACGUAAGGUCCGAGCGUUGUCCGGAAUCAUUGGGCGUAAAGGGUACGUAGGCGGGUAAGCAAGUUAGAAGUGAAAUCCUAUAGCUCAACUAUAGUAAGCUUUUAAAACUGCUCAUCUUGAGGUAUGGAAGGGAACGUAGACUUCCUAGUGUAGCGGUGAAAUGCGCAGAUAUUAGGAGGAAUACCGGUGGCGAAGGCGACUUUCUGGCCAUAACCUGACGCUGAGGUACGAAAGCGUGGGUAGCAAACAGG
rnacentral:rRNA from 1 species